rnacentral:tRNA from 1 species
GUCUCUGUGGCGCAAUGGGUUAGCGCGUUCGGCUGUUAAUCGAAAGGUUGAUGGUUCGAAUCCAUCUGGGGCG